UCAACCAAACCAUAUCAGCAGAGAAACAAUGGACGUGUAGUUCCUCUUCUCCAAAACCCUAACCCUAGCUUCAGACAUCACCAUUUCUUUCGCCGUCGAUUACUUGUGCAUGAGGCUUCUACUACUGCAGGUCUGGAGAAGGGUUUGGAUGUAUGCAGCCUUAACCCCCCAAGCGGAGAGGUUGUUUCCGCGACUGACCUGUGACCACCAGGCCACAUUGGGGAAACCUUACCGUUGUGCUCGGGCCGCCCUCAAUAAUUAUUACAUAAGUGCAGGAAGAGAUGUUGAAUGAUACUACAAACAAAGUUUGUGUACAAGAUGACCAUGUCAGUAGUACUUCAACAGAAGAGGACAAUAAGAGGAAACUUAAAGAUAAAUUGCAUCAAAUGACCAGGAUUGUGCAAGCUAAGACGAGUGUCCUGCAAAGUAUAGUUGCAGGGUAGCCAUGAUCGGAUGGAGUAUUUGGAAGGCUAGAAACGACUUAAAUGGGUCCGCCCCUGGGAAUUGUUGCAUGGGAGGAAGUCCAAAGUGUCUGCCCCUGGCGCUCUGGUUUGUGAAGCUAUGGCUCUAAGAGAGGCUUACCUUAUUGGUUAAGGCUUUGGGAUUGCGUUCUGUGCAGAUUGAAAGUGGUAACAAGCUGCUUGCUUCUUUAAUUAAGCGUUUCCGAAUUCAUCCCACCUUGGGAGGGUGCUUGUAUUAUUCACAAUAUUAGGGUUCUUGCGUUAGAACUUGAUUUACCUAUUGUCACAUCGCAAGUAUUUUAGGUUUAUCACAAUUGGUAAGCUUAGAGA